GCGGAGCGCGCGAACUUAACCACUCGGCCACGGGGCCAGCCCCUGAUUAAAUAUUUUGAUUAGUAAUUAUAUUUAAGACUAAAGACUUAGUAUAUGGAUUUAACAAAAUUAUAUGCCACAAACAAAUGAUUUAAAAAAUUCUGAGCAUUUUGGGAAAUAUUUUCAUGAAAGAGCUUUAUAAGAGAAGAGAUGAGUGAAAAAUGCUGAUGCAGUACAUACUUUAUUACAGUGAUGUUUAAACAAAGAGUUUCACACUUGGAAACCGAUCAGGGAGUCUGUGAAGACUGAGCGGACACACUGGCCAAGGCUAGCCAAUUUUCCUUUCCUAAGAAAAAAGGCUUCUGUAAAUAAAGAAAAAAACUGAAAUGUCUUACAGUGAGUUUUAGGUCUUCUUCAUAGAAAAAUCAAGAUAAAUUUAAAGCCAGCCAUUAAUAUGCUACUCGCUUGCAUGUUAAAACAAAAAUAUGUUGAUAUACAAGAAUAAUUAAAUUUUUAUUUUCUGUUGUCUUGAAAACAAUGACUAAAAUGUAAUUCAGGAUUGUCUUUUUCUAGCCUGGCUUCUCACUUGUAUCAAAAGGUGACGGCACAGACCUGAACUGUGCCGAACACCAUGCUCUGUGACUGUUCAUGUGCUUGCUGCACUGGGUACACACCGUGUACACUCGUCAGGCUUUUCCCACCAUCCCAACUGAAUGGCGUCAAGCUCCCUCUCCCCGCCCCAGUGUGUAGCCUAAACCCCAAAGGAGAAAGCCGAGUCACCUGCGUCUUCCCAGUCUUCCACCUUUCGUUAAGCCAUUUCAGGAACACCAAGAGAUGGUCUGCCCUCUCCAUGACACUCGUCAGUCCUGACACACAACAGCAAAUAAAGCAGACUGACGUGAUGCCAACGUCUUUGUACUUCCACACUCUGGAACAAGCACACUUGCGAACAACCAGCUCCAGAAGUGUUAAAAGGCCCUCAAAAAAUUAGGAAUAAUAUCAUCUCUAGUAUAAAAGAAUUCAAAAACAUCCAGUUCCAAAUAGUCCCUGAGCAUACUGUUCAUUCCAGCAAGAUGUCUCCAGAGAGGUAAUGAAUGAAAGGCACAUUUUCUCCAACUUGAGGACCGUGCAUAGUACUAGCGAUACUACAGCAGCCAGGCUAACCAAGGUUCUAACCGAGGACACUCCCCCUCCCAAUUUUCAAUCUUGUACACUGGAAAAAGUAACAUUGGAUGGCAACACAACACUUCAGACGAGAGGAGUGGCAGCUGGAGUACAUCGACCCUUCGCAGAAGACUCAAGAGGAAGGACAGCUUCAAGACUCCUCUUCCUCCUUUUCCAGGAAAUCAGUCAACGUUCCACUGUCAACAGGAAUUAAUAAAUAUUCCACUCCAUCAGCUCCCUGAAAGAUGCAAGGAGACCCUGGGUGUUAGUCAUCUGGAAGAGAGAGAUGUGAAUC
rnacentral:lncRNA from 1 species